rnacentral:rRNA from 1 species
GUCACUGUUUGUGUCGUGAGAAGUUCAUUGAACCUUAUCAUUUAGAGGAAGGAGAAGUCGUAACAAGGUUUCCGUAGGUGAACCUGCGGAAGGAUCAUUG